GACAUUACAAAAAAAAAACAUUCCGGAAGUGCUCCAGGCCUCUAGGGGGCGCGCUACGUGGAACAGAUUGAUGUAUGACCAGACAUAGAGAGAACGAACAAGAGUGAUGGAAAUCGGGAGGAAAGAAAGUUCAUUUAAGUGGAGAAAGAUAUAAGAAGGCUGCCAUGUUUUGUCCUUUCUGUGGCCAACAUCUGGGGACAGUUCAAGUGUUCUGUGGCUCCUGUGGCAAAAAUGUACAGUUUUUGGCAGAAGUUGAACACAACAGCAUUCCAUAAGGAGGGUCAGGAACUCACGCUUGGGACCACCAGUGUCCCCUCCAUCCUCAGUGUGUCCCUCAUCAUCAGUGAACUUAACUGACAUCUCAUGAGAGCGAUC